rnacentral:rRNA from 1 species
CUGGACCUACGGGGGGCAGCAGUGGGGAAUAUUGCACAAUGGAGAGAACUCUGAUGCAGCGACGCCGCGUGAGUGAAGAAGUAAUUCGUUAUGUAAAGCUCUAUCAGCAGGGAAGAAAGUGACGGUACCUGAAAAAGAAGCUCCGGCUAAAUACGUGCCAGCAGCCGCGGUAAUACGUAGGUGGCAAGCGUUAUCUGGAUUUACUGGGUGUAAAGGGAGCGUAGACGGAGGAGCAAGUCUGAUGUGAAAAUCCGGGGCCCAACCCCGGAACUGCAUUGGAAACUGUUUAUCUAGAGUGUCGGAGG